rnacentral:lncRNA from 1 species
GCCUUUCGCGAAUUUUCCGAAUUGCCACCUUCGACCUCUUAACGAAAACUUCGCAAUUACCAGAGAUCCAUCCGUCGGAUUUUCGAUCCGACAGCACCAUUGCGUUCAGCACGUCGGGGGCAUCAAAACUACAAUCUUAUUUCGUCAGAUAUGGUCACGGAUUCGCAACGGAACCCAUCCGCUCUCUAAUUAAUCCAUAUAUCGCACAUAUACCAAUGUGUAACCCAUUAAACCAACUUUCGCAUAAGAAAUUGACUUCCCUACUACUA